CUCUCUCAGGUCAUUGUUGCCAAAGAAAUGAAUUGCAGCACAGCUCCGCAGGUCCCUGCACAACUGGGGCAAGGGCUGGCACUGGGCCAGCGGGAACCUGUUGGGGAGGCUGCAAGGUGCUUCUCUGCAUCCAAGGCUGCCACACCCUGUGCACACUGUGGAGCUGGGUGGAUGGGGUGUGCUCAGGAGGGGCUCUCGGCCCUCGGCUGGGAGUCAGAGGCGUGGUGGGUGGGGCGGGGAGGGGUGUCACAGCUGCAGGGCAGCCUUGAUGUCUGCACUUGGCUUUUUAAUUUGUAGUCACAGCCAACAAGUGUGGAAACCGCCUCAGGACCGGCUUGAGUGGAGCGGCUGCGGGAGUUACUUCAUGACUGUGGUCUCACGCUGUGUUUCGCCACCCAUCCCUGCCUGGCCUGGCUUCCUUCCUUCCUCCUGGUAGUUGGCUUUCCACCGUAAGGAAAACUGCCCAGUCUCCCCUCUGGCUACCAGUGAAGGCUUGUGGGGUUUUCUUUGAUUCGCCCUCCAAACACACAAGACACUUCCAGAAUCUUCUUAUUCUCCAGAGGAAAAUGUUUCAUCAAAACACCAGAGGCAGCCAGCAUUUUGACAAGAAAACACAACAAACUUCAUUUCUUUGGAAAUUUGAUCUAGGAAAAUGUGUCUCUCUCAUUUUGCUAAUGGAUGUCUGUUUAUCAGUCAGAGACCAUGAAACGACUCCUUAUUUUGAAUAUCAGAUUUUCUUCUUAUUCUCAAACCUCAAAACAGCUUGGUAAUAAUUUAUUUGGAAAUUAUCCGAAAGGUAAAAAUAAAAACAGAAGCAAGUAAUAUGCCUUGUUACUGCUCCUUAAUUAGGUAAGAGCCUCAUUUCUUGGGCUGCUGGGAUGUAAAUUCUGCAUAAAAUGGCUGGCUUUCUUUUUAAGGCUUUGCAGCAGUGUUAACAUUCGGCUGCCAACUAAGUCGAUUUUAAUCGCCUUUACAGGAACCUUCACUUUUUCUGUUUGUUCCAUUCCACUCUUUCCUCAGUGGAUAAUCCCGCAUGUUAAGAUUCCUGUGCAGCCGAGGGAGGCGGCUUUUGGCCGGGAGCUUGUGCUCUGGGUGUGAGCGUGGCUGUUGGGAACGCCUUCUGCUCAGAAUUCCGUGGUCUCAGCAGAUCGUUCAGUCUAGCCACUGGGACGGGGCCGACCGCACACUGCUGGACCUCUGAGCGGAAGAUGUGUGAGGUUAGGAGGGAAGGAAUAAACAAAGUCGCCUUCUUCCCUGCUGACCUGCCUUGGUAACAGAGUCCCAAGAUUCCAAGUUCCAGGAGCAUGAAAGGACUCACUUGUGGAGAUUCCUGCCUGGGGCUCCCACCCACCUAAGGAAUGCCAUCCUUGUCACCGGCUCACGGGGCAGCUCUUUGGUAUCCUUCCAGGGUGGUGUGUACAAGUACAGGCACAUGGAUGCAUGGAUGCAUGAGCAUUUUUUUCUUUUGCCGACAUAUUAAUACACCCGGCAGCACUCUAGGCCCAUUGGCCUGCAACUUUUCAUUUGAUUGAUUUUUAAUUAUUUACUUUUUUAAAAAAUUGUAGUUAAAUAUACAUGACAUAUAUUUACCAUUUGAGUCUUUUUUUUUUUUUUGAGAUGGAGUCUUGCUCUAUCUCCCAGGCUGGAGUGCAGUGGUGUGAUCUCGGCUCACUGCAACCUCCACAGCCUGAUCCUGGGUUCAAGGGAUUCUCCUGCCUCAGCCUCCCGAGUAGUUGGGAUUACAGGCGCCUGCCACCAUGCCUGGAUAAUUUUUUUUUCUUUUGAGACGGAGUCUUGCUCUGUCACCCAGGCUGGAGUGCAGUGGUGCAAUCUCAGCUCACUGCAAGCUCCGCCUCCCAGGUUCACGCCAUUCUCCUGCCUCAGCCUCCCGAAUAGCUGCGACUACAGGUGCCCGCCACCACACCGGCUAAUUUUUUGUAUUUUUAGUAGAGACAGGGUUUCACCGUGUUAGCCAGGAUGGUCUCGAUCUCCUGACCUCGUGAUCAGCCUGCCUCGGCCUCCCAAAGUGCUGGGAUUAAAGGCAUGAGCCACUGUGCCCGGCCUAAUUUUUGUAUUUCUGUAGAGACAGGAUUUCACCAUGUUGGCUAGGCUGGUCUCAAACUCUUGACCUCAGGUGAUCUGCCCUCCUCGCCCUCCCAAAGUGUUGGGAUUACAGGUGUGAGCCACAGCACCCAGACCAUUUUUAAGUGCACAGUUCAGUGGUAUUACAUACAUUCACAGUGUUGUAUAAUCGUCACCACCAUCCAUCUUCAGAACUUUAUGCAUCUUGCAAAACUAAAACCUGCCCCCAUUAAACAGCAGCCCCCCUCAUCCCCUGCCCCCAACCCCUGGCAACCCCUAUUCUACUGUCCGUGCCUAUGAACCUCACUACUCUAUGCACCUCACAUACGUGGAACCACAUGGUAUCUGCCCUUUCGUCGCUGGCGUCUCUUAGCAUAACGUCCUCAAGGUUCAUCGGUGUUGGGGCACGUGUCGGGAUUUUAUGGUGUGUGAAUGACGUCUCAGUUUAAAAUGUUCUAGAGUUACCCAGUGGUGAUGGAUACACAACUCUGAAUAUGCCAACAACUUCUGACUGGUACACUUUGAGUGGGUGAUUGUAUGGUCUUUGAAUUGUGUCAAUAAAGCUGUCAUUUAAAAUAAAAUACCAAUCCGUGCUGGCACAGAGA
rnacentral:lncRNA from 10 species